AUUGAACGCUGGCGGCAGGCCAAACACAUGCAAGUCGAGCGGAUGACGGGAGCUUGCUCCUUGAUUCAGCGGCGGACGGGUGAGUAAUGCCUAGGAAUCUGCCUGGUAGUGGGGGACAACGUUUCGAAAGGAACGCUAAUACCGCAUACGUCCUACGGGAGAAAGCAGGGGACCUUCGGGCCUUGCGCUAUCAGAUGAGCCUAGGUCGGAUUAGCUAGUAGGUGAGGUAAUGGCUCACCUAGGCGACGAUCCGUAACUGGUCUGAGAGGAUGAUCAGUCACACUGGAACUGAGACACGGUCCAGACUACUACGGGAGGCAGCAGUGGGGAAUAUUGGACAAUGGGCGAAAGCCUGAUCCAGCCAUGCCGCGUGUGUGAAGAAGGUCUUCGGAUUGUAAAGCACUUUAAGUUGGGAGGAAGGGCAGUAAGCUAAUACCUUGCUGUUUUGACGUUACCGACAGAAUAAGCACCGGCUAACUCUGUGCCAGCCGCCGCAGUAAAAC
rnacentral:rRNA from 1 species